rnacentral:rRNA from 1 species
UGAAAUGCGAGGAGAUAUGGAGGAACGCCAGUGGCGAAGGCGAGUUUCUGGGCUGAAACCGACGGCGGUGUGCGAAAGCGCGGGGACAAAACAGGAUUAGAUUCCCUGGUAGACCACGCCGUAAACGAUGAGUGCUAAUUGUUAUGGGUUUUCCGCCCCUUAGUUCUGCAGCUAACGCAUUAAGCUCUGGGCCUGGUUAGUACGACCGCAAGGUUGAAACACAAAGGAAUUGACGGGAACCCGCACAAGCGAUAGAUCAUGUGGUUGAAUUCGAAGCAACACGAAUAGCCUUACCAAAUCUUGAC